AAAUUCAGUCUUCGCACAGAAAACAAAAAAAAAGUUAUUAGAGUCACAGAGAGAACUCUCUCGAGAACAAACCCUAAUCCCGUCACCGUUACCCUAUCUCCAACCGACGAAACUCUCUGUCGACACCUUGAAGGCCGAUUUCGUGCUCUGUAACUCAAGCUUGGUUGAAAAGAGGAGGAUGACCUGAAGUUGUGAACGGAUCCAAGCUCAGUUGAAUCAGACGAGGAAAAAAACCGACUCUUCACCAUCCGCGAGAGACGAACACAGUUCCGAGCUUCCUUUCCUCGUUAGCGGAGGCGGAGAAUAAUGAGGAAUAGGAAGACAGCGGUGAAGAUAUAGAUUGUGGUUGAGUAUGUUCCAGAGCAGCCCGAGUUUGAAGAUGGUUUUAAUGUUGAGUUCAAGCAAAUCUUUGAGAAGUUUAACUUCAGGGAACAUGUCUGAUUAUCUCUUUCUAAGAGACAGUUUUAGUAUCAUGGUUGAAGUUUGUAAGUUAAAUGAAGAAGUUUUACGGUUGGAGCAGAUGGUAUCUUAAUAGAAGCUUGUCAGAAUUUGAAUAUGUUCCUUCUCUUUCUGCUUGCGAGGUUUUGAGAUGCAUCGCUUUGUGUUAAGAGAAGAUCUACACAUCAGAUCCAGACUCUCUAAUUCAUCAUCUGCAAUGGCUCUUGGGUUACUUCAGAUCCUAGUUAUCAAGAAGAAGUAAGUAUACAUUUCUUAAACUUAUAGACUAUGAAGUGAAUGUAUUAUCCAUUCUUAAUUCAUAAGCUUAGACAGCUGAACCUUUUUUAUUGUUUUUUUAAUAGUAUUUAUGAUUGUUCUAUCAUUUUAUCCGUGGUGUACAUGUACUGCUCAUUGGACACCAAACUCCGGAGACAUGAGUGUACUUCAAUACGAUGAAGUGAAAAUGCAGAAACGGUCGGAAUCAUGUUCCUCUAGCACAAGCGCAGUGACUGGUGAAAUGGCUUUACAUUGGGUAAAUGGCACAGACUUAUGUGAUUUGUAUUUCAGAAUCCUGAUCAGAUGCUUCUUGGUCCCAAUGGCUGUGUGGAUAAUGGUACCCUUUCUAAAG